CCUACGGGUGGCAGCAGUGAGGAAUAUUGGUCAAUGGCCGGAAGUCUGAACCAGCCAAGCCGCGUGAAGGACGAAGGUGCCAAGCAUUGUAAACUUCUUUUGUAAAGGAACAAAAUCAGGCUCGAGAGCCUGACCGAAGGUACUUUAAGAAAAAGCAUCGGCUAACUCCGUGCCAGCAGCCGCGGUAAUACGGAGGAUGCGAGCGUUAUCCGGAUUUAUUGGGUUUAAAGGGUGCGUAGGGGGACUGUUAAGUCAGCGGUAAAAGCCGGGGGCUCAACCCCGGCGAGCCGUUGAUACUGGCUGUCUUGAGAUGUCGUGAGGUAUGCGGAAUGCGUAGUGUAGCGGUGAAAUGCUUAGAUAUUGCGAAGAACUCCGAUUGCGAAGGCAGCAUACCGGCGGCGAUCUGACGCUGAGGCACGAAAGUGUGGGUAUCGAACAGGAUUAGAUACCCGAGUAGUC
rnacentral:rRNA from 1 species